GGGCAUAUCAGUGCACAUAUACUGAAAUUGGAACGAUACAGAGAAGAUUAACAUGGCCCCUGCACAAGGAUGACAUGCAAAUUCGUGAAACAUUCCAUAUUUUU